rfam:Trametes pubescens strain FBCC735 TRAPTBscaffold_631, whole genome shotgun sequence.
UGCCCCAUGGCUGAGUUGGUCACAGCGUCCGACUGUUAUGCAGAUAGUGAUCACCCAGGUACAUCGGAAGGUCGUGAGUUCGAGCCUCACUGGGGCAG